UCGUCUACAGCCCCUCGUCGCCGGUGAGCGUUUCCCUCAAGCUUUACGCCGAUUUUCACUUUCUCUAGCAUCUCUUUCCAGCUUUGGUUUUCUCUCUGGUUAAGACGGACUCCGGCCUCCGCGCACCGCCCCAUCAGCCCGCCGCUCCCGUCUGCUGUUCGUCGCCGCCCGUUCAUCGCCGUCGUCCGCCGCCGGUGCUACAGUUUCGGAGUCUUAGUUUUCGUAAGAUUUGAUACAUUUAUGGGUUUUGUUGAGAGUUUUUUUAGAUACCCACUAAGAUUUGGCUUCAUUAUUAAUUUAAUUGUGAUUUAGGAGGUUGGAUUUGAAGUAUUGAGGAGUUUAAAGUCGCUGUCCAGUAGAGUUUAAGGUCGAUUUUGGCAAUUUUGUUUUGGGUCGUUACAUUUUAAGCCCGAACCUGUUUUCAUAUGUUAACAAUCUGUCCAACCCGACUCCAAAUUUUUAUUCAAUUCACCCUUGCUUACUUCGUGCUGCAUUCUGUUCAUUUUUGUUCUUUGGGUGCAGUUGAGAUUUGACAUCUGGUAGAGAAAUUUUUGUUCUUCUUUCUUCUCAUAAUGGUUUUCUCCUGUAGUUGCUUGCUUUCAUAUUUGUUCUCUUUCACCAAUUCCUGAUAUAUGUUAGAGUUUGAUCAAGGAGUCUAGAUGGGGGAGGAGAAUAAGAACAGGGGUAUAAUCCCAUCAAUGAUAAAGAACAAAGAAAAGAGGGCAGAAGUGCACGCCAACCUCAAGAACCAGAAGAAGCUUGAGAAACGCAAGAGGGCCAAGGCUCGUGAUGCUGCUGAGAAGCAAGCUCUUGAACUUGGAGAAGAACUUCCUCCUCGGAAGAUUCCUCGCACUAUUGAGAACACCAGGGAGGUUGAUGAGACUCUUUGCAAACCUGAUGAUGAAGAGCUAUUUGCUGGAAAUGAUGCUGAUGAAUUUAGUUCCAUCAUAAAGCGCGAAAUUUUGCCGAAAGUUCUAAUUACUACUUGUCGUUUUAAUUCUACUAUUGGACCUACUUUUAUAUCAGAGUUGCUUUCGGUGAUACCAAAUGCACAUUACUACAAGAGAGGAACUAAUGAUUUGAAGAAGAUUAUAGAAUAUGCAAAUGCCAAGGACUUCACUUCUUUGAUGGUUGUCCAUACGAGUAGGAGAAAAUUGGAUGGCCUUUUAAUUAUUGGCUUACCUGAGGGACCUACUGCCCAUUUUAAGAUAUCGAAUGUUGUCUUACGUAAGGACAUUAAGAAUCAUGGAAAUCCAACCAGUCAUCAGCCAGAGCUUGUAUUGACCAACUUCACAACACGCCUUGGUCUUCGUAUUGGAAGAUUAAUACAAGCACUAUUCCCUCAAGAUCCUAAUUUUCGUGGUCGACGGGUUGUAACUUUUCAUAACCAACGUGAUUUUAUAUUUUUUCGGCAUCAUCGAUACAUUUUUGAAAGCAAGGAAAAUAAAAAAGAGGCCGAUUCAAAAAAGAAGUCCAAGGAUACGAAGGGUGAGAAAGUUCCUCAGCAGAAAGUAAUUGCCCGUCUUCAGGAAUGUGGUCCUCGUUUCACAAUGAAAUUGAUCAGUUUGCAGCAUGGAACUUUCGAUUCAAAAGGCGGGGAGUAUGAAUGGGUUCAUAAACCUGAAAUGGAUACAAGCCGCAGAAGAUUUUUCUUGUGACAUUCUCGUGGAGUUCAUUACGUUUGGUUCCGGGGAGUAAAAGUUCUCUGGCUCUUAUUUAUAUAAAAUUUUGAGUGGACUGCUGAUCAAAUUCGAAUCUCCAUUUUGGCCUACGUGUGUUAGAAGUUCAUUUAUUUUUCACUAUUCAAAAUUUUGUAGCAUUGCCGUUGAGGUUGAGUUUGUUCCAGAGGAAUCAAUGUAUUGAUAUUUGAAAGCAUUUGGAUAGAAUUAUUUCUAGGAGUUGACAAUUGAAAAGAAAAAAGCCAUAUAUUCAUUCUCUUAUUUAGGGGUAAAAGGGUUGAGAUUU